GCCGUCCGAUCAAGAAAUCCUUCUGGUAGUAUCUCUUCCGCAUUUGCAUAAUCACUUGGAAGGUCCAGACUUCCCUUGGGUGGUUCACGGAUGGACCACAAGAACCGAAAGCCGGACCGCUCGAGCCCAAACGCUAUCUCUCGCAACUGUGAUCUACCAAGACUGCCCAUGCUCCCAAAGCACAAGAACACCACCGACGACCUAGGCUGAUCAUCAAGCCAUUUCAUUAUAUUGUGUUGUUGGUCCCGGUCCGGAUGCCAUUCGAUUGGACCUGCAAGGUCAAGAA
rnacentral:misc_RNA from 1 species